rnacentral:lncRNA from 1 species
AUAUCAAAUAGAAUACAAGCAUUCUAUAGUUUGAACAAUAAAUCCUCUGGCCAUUUCAUUUCAGCUUCAAUGAGCAUACACCAAGAUGAUUCAAAGUAGUGUACCUGAAAUCGAGAAUAGCAGAAGAAGAAGAAGAAGAAAGGCAGGUCAGCAGUAGCAGUAGUACACAAUACAACAACACCACAACAAAGAGCAGAGCAACAACCAGCAAAAAUAACACCCAGCACAAGCAGUCCAAAACCCAGGAGUGAAACCAGAAAAUACCAAGCAAUUCACAGACAGAAACAAAAUGUAUUCAGAAAUGAGAUAGGAGAGUAGAUUUUCUGAUUUCUGUUCUUCAGAUUCUCAAAUAAAGACACUCAGAACCUCAAUUAAACAGUAACAAACUGAUUCUCAUUUUCAGUAGUAAAAAAGACUUCACCUUUUCAGUAUUUAGCUCUCAACCUAUUGAACUCUUUAGGGUAAAAACUCAGCUUGUAUUUCACUCUUAAACUCUGAAUUUCUGAUGUCAAAAUCCAGCCUAACCUUACUCUAUAACUCUGACCUUUUUUUUUUCCAGA